GAGCUCGUAGGCGGUUUGUCGCGUCUGCUGUGAAAUCCCGAGGCUCAACCUCGGGCUUGCAGUGGGUACGGGCAGACUAGAGUGCGGUAGGGGAGAUUGGAAUUCCUGGUGUAGCGGUGGAAUGCGCAGAUAUCAGGAGGAACACCGAUGGCGAAGGCAGAUCUCUGGGCCGUAACUGACGCUGAGGAGCGAAAGCAUGGGGAGCGAACAGGAUUAGAUACCCUGGUAGUCCAUGCCGUAAACGUUGGGCGCUAGAUGUAGGGACCUUUCCACGGUUUCUGUGUCGUAGCUAACGCAUUAAGCGCCCCGCCUGGGGAGUACGGCCGCAAGGCUAAAACUCAAAGGAAUUGACGGGGGCCCGCACAAGCGGCGGAGCAUGCGGAUUAAUUCGAUGCAACGCGAAGAACCUUACCAAGGCUUGACAUACACCGGAAACGGCCAGAGAUGGUCGCCCCCUUGUGGUCGGUGUACAGGUGGUGCAUGGUUGUCGUCAGCUCGUGUCGUGAGAUGUUGGGUUAAGUCCCGCAACGAGCGCAACCCUCGUUCUAUGUUGCCAGCGGGUCAUGCCGGGGACUCAUAGGAGACUGCCGGGGUCAACUCGGAGGAAGGUGGGGAUGACGUCAAAUCAUCAUGCCCCUUAUGUCUUGGGCUUCACGCAUGCUACAAUGGCCGGUACAAAGGGCUGCGAUACCGUAAGGUGGAGCGAAUCCCAAAAAGCCGGUCUCAGUUCGGAUUGAGGUCUGCAACUCGACCUCAUGAAGUCGGAGUCGCUAGUAAUCGCAGAUCAGCAACGCUGCGGUGAAUACGUUCCCGGGCCUUGUACACACCGCCCGUCAAGUCAUGAAAGUCGGUAACACCCGAAGCCGGUGGCCUAACCCUUGUGGAAGGAGCCGUCGAAGGUGGGAUCGGUGAUUAGGACGAAGUCGUA
rnacentral:rRNA from 1 species